CUUGAAAGCAGGAUGGCAAAUGAGGGCAUUGUGGUGUAUUCUCAGAGGGAUCUCUUCUAAUAUCUACCAGGGAUGUCUGCAGGGAAUUCCUGUUUUGCUUGCUCAGAAUUGUGUUUGCAGGAAAUUCCUUUUUUACUUUGUUAUGAGUUGUGUUUUUCAAGCUCUCCACAGUUAAACUGGCAGGCUGGAACCAGAGGCAGUCUCUUCAAGGGCUCUGCAGGCAUAUCCAUGCAGCUGUAAAGACACUCUUUGAAUGUGCACAAUGAAGCCAAAUCCAGAAUUCUGAUUUCAUUGUACCUGCUCUCUGACUUCAGAGGAAGACCUUCCUAAGGAUGAUCACAGGAUUAGCUGAGCGAUACAAGACUUUGCUGGUGAGUUCAGACAGCGAGGUGUUUUUUCAGAAAGCACAUGAGGAGGAGAGAGCAGCACUUCACUGAACGAGCUGUACAGCCCUUGGUGCUGCAGCUCAGACCUGGAGAAGCCUUUACAGGUCCGUAUUUUUGUGAUCCUGAGAGUCAGAUGGAGACCCCUGGAGAAAAGGGCAUCUGUCUGCUCCUUGCUAAGAACAAGGUUCCAGGCAGUCUCCUAACAUGGUUCUGGGAUCAGGUUCUGCUUGGAUUUUAUUUGGCAUGUAAGUGCUCUGCUAAGAAAUCUGCAGUGUCUACAUUUAUUUUAAACACAUAUAAAGAUUUUUACUUUAGUAUAGGUACAAUAAUGUUCACAUGGAGUGUGCAGAAAUGCAACCUAAGUGCUUUUAAGGUAGUACAGAAUUUAAUAAAAUA
rnacentral:lncRNA from 1 species